CAGAAUUCAGAACUGCUAAGACACAUCACGGCCUGGAGGAAGGCUUGACUACUUGCUACAGGCCCAUACUUCUGAGCCCUGGAGAGAAUUGGCUUCCCUCGUUUCCCCCAAAUCACAUCUCUGGCAACUACGCUAACCACCAUGAGGAUAUUUUGCCUUCUCUUUGCUGGUCUUUUCUUGGUCUUCCUACCUAGUCCAGGCAAAGGAGAUUUUAUCACACUAGGCUGCUUAUUCCGAGGUGGUUCCUGUGAAUCUGAUGCCUGCAAGGAAGCUGAAUUACAGAUUGGGACCUGCGCCAAGACCAAAAAGCUAUGCUGUAAGAAACCGAAAUAAAAGGCUGUUCUGAACCCCGGA